UAUAAUUUAGUAUAUAUGUUAAAUCGACCAUCAAUAAUCCAAUCAUUGGACAACUACUCGAAAAUUAUUAUCAUUUUUUUUACUACAACAUGCAUAAAACAUUAGUGUGAACUUACUACAAAUGUGAUACCUUUGCUAAAUCAAUUAUUCAUGAUCAACUUUUAACUUAUAUGAAGUUAGACAUAUAAACUUUACUAAAUCAAUAAUUAAUGUUAGCCUCAACUUCUUUACUAAUCACUUAACACCUUUACAAUCUUGGAAAUUGUCUACCAUAUACAAGCUAUUAUAGCUUAUAACUAAUGGAUUGUUUGCAUAAUCACAGCUUGACAAAAACCUAAGUCUAGGGUUAAAAAAAUAUAGCUAGCUAGUACUAAGUACAAAGGCUCCUACAGCCAUCUGUAGUAGAGUGAUAUAUAUGGCCGUAACAGUUGCAGUGGAGGGAAUUCUUCAUCGGUACAUAAACCAGAGGUGACUACGAAUCUACGACCACCCGUAUUGGGGCACUACGGACGUAGCACUUCAAAAAUUCACUAGAAGUUCAAUUUUUUAUCUUAUACUCCAUCUGUUUUAAAAUAAGUGUCAUUUUAGUUAAAAAAUUGUUUUAAAAUAAAUGUUACUUUACAUUUCCAAUACAACUUUAAUUUUUUUCUUCGAACUUUUCUCUCAAAAAUGAUGGAAUUAUGAAGAAUGAUGGAUUGGAUGUGGAACUGAACUGUAUGGUGGUUUGGUGGAGAAUUGAUGAAGGUGAGAGAAGAGAUA
rnacentral:lncRNA from 1 species